rnacentral:rRNA from 1 species
GACGAACGCUGGCGGCGUGCUUAACACAUGCAAGUCGAACGGAAAGGCCCUGCUUUUGUGGGGUGCUCGAGUGGCGAACGGGUGAGUAACACGUGAGUAACCUGCCCUUGACUUGGGGAUAACUUCAGGAAACUGGGGCUAAUACCGGAUAGGAGCUCCUGCUGCAUGGUGGGGGUUGGAAAGUUUCGGCGGUUGGGGAUGGACUCGCGGCUUAUCAGCUUGUUGGUGGGGUAGUGGCUUACCAAGGCUUUGACGGGUAGCCGGCCUGAGAGGGUGAGCUGCCCCAUUGGGACUGAGAUACGGCACAGACUCCUACGGGAGGCAGCAGUGGGGAAUAUUGCACAAUGGGCUGAAGCCUGAUGCAGCAACGCCGCGUGCGGGAUGACGGCCUUCGGUUUGUAAUCCGCUUUCGCCUGUGACGAAGCGUGAGUGACGGUAAUGGGUAAAGAAGCACCGGCUAACUACGUG